rfam:Cajanus cajan CcLG02_1362, whole genome shotgun sequence.
GAAUGACAUGAUGAUUAAUUGUGUCCCUAUUGGUUUGAUUGCCUUGAUGAUGGCACUUAUGUAUUAGCUCUAUCUGAUCAUUC